rnacentral:rRNA from 1 species
CCUGGUUGAUCCUGCCAGUAGCAUAUGCUUGUCUCAAAGAUUAAGCCAUGCACGUGUAAGUACACACGGCCGGUACAGUGAAACUGCGAAUGGCUCAUUAAAUCAGUUAUGGUUCCUUUGAUCGCUCCAUCUGUUACUUGGAUAACUGUGGUAAUUCUAGAGCUAAUACAUGCCGAUGAGCGCUGUCCUCCCGGGAUGCGUGCAUUUAUCAGACCAAGACCAAUCCGGGCUCGCCCGGCCGCUUUGGUGACUCUAGAGAACCUCAGGCCGAUCGCACGUCCCUGUGACGGCGACGAUGCAUUCGGAUGUCUGCACUAUCAACUUUUGAUGGUACUUUCUGUGCCUACCAUGGUGACCAUGGGUAACGGGGAAUCAGGGUUCGAUUCCGGAGAGGGAGCCUGAGAAACGGCUACCACAUACAAGGAAGGCCGCAGGCGCCCAAAUUACCCACUCCCGACUCGGGGAGGUAGUGACGAAAAAUAACAAUACAGGACUCUUUCGAGGCCCUGUAAUUGGAAUGAGUACGCUUUAAAUCCUUUAAGGAGGAUCCAUUGGAGGGCAAGUCUGGUGCCAGCAGCUGCGGUAAUUCCAGCUCCAAUAGCGUAUAUUAAAGUUGCUGCAAUUAAAAAGCUUGUAGUUGGAUCUUGGGAUCGAGCUGGCGGUCCGCCACGAGGCGAGCUACCGCCUGUUCCAGCCCUUGCCUCUCGGCGCCCCCUUGAUGCUCUUGACUGAGUGUCCUGGGGGUCCACAGUGUUUACUUUGAAAAAAUUAGAGUGUUCAAAGCAGGUCGGUCGCCUGAAUAUUUCAGCUAGGAAUAAUGGAAUAGGACUCUGGUUCUAUUUUGUUGGUUUUCGGAACUGGGGCCAUGAUUAAAAGGGACGGCCGGGGGCAUUCGUAUUGUGCCGCUAGACGUGAAAUUCUUGGACCAGCGCAAGACGAACCAAAGCAAAAGCAUUUGCCAGGAAUGUUUUCAUUAAUCAAGAACGAAAGUCGGAGGUUCGAAGACGAUCAGAUACCGUUGUCGUUAUUCCCAUGACCCGCCGAGCAGCUUCCGGGAAACAAAAGUCUUUGGGUUCUGGGGGAAGUAUGGUUGCAAAGCUGAAACUUAAAGGAAUUGACGGAAGGGCACCACCAGGAGUGGAGCCUGUGGCUUAAUUUGACUCAACACGGGAAACCUCACCCGGCCCGGACACGGAAAGGAUUGACAGAUUGAUAGCUCUUUCUCGAUUUGUGGGUGGUGGUGCAUGGCCGUUCUUAGUUGGUGGAGCGAUUUGUCUGGUUAAUUCCGAUAAUGAACGAUACUCCUCCAUGCUAACUAGUUACGCGACCCGAGGGGUACCUUAAUCCAGACUGAUGGUCAUGGAGACAACCAAGAGAUUCAGUGUGAAUAUUAAGCUGGGAGAUGGCCAGCUUUUGCAGGAGUUUGCAUGGGAAAGGAGUGAUGGAGAUCAGGCAAUAGUUAGCUGGGCAGGAGGGGACGGCUGAGGGUUUCUUGAGAAGAGGGUACAGAAGAGAGUGCUUCAGGGGGAAGGGAAGACUCCAGUGGUGAAGGAGUGAUUUCAGAAGUCAGCCAGGGCAGGAAGAAUGGUGUCAAUCUGGUCCUUGAUGGUUUUGGAAGAACCUGUUUUGACAAGGCUUUCAUAGAUUGAACUUGUCUAGAAAACUUGUCAGGGGAGAACAGAGGAAAGCAAGUGAAAGACGGAGUAGAGGUGGCCACCGUGGGGCCAGAUUUAGAGGAGAAAGUAGAGUGUG